UUGGUCAAUGGACGCAAGUCUGAACCAGCCAUGCCGCGUGAAGGAUUAAGGCCCUCUGGGUUGUAAACUUCUUUUAUAGGGGAAGAAAUGUGACGGUUCUCCGUCACUUGACGGUACCCUGGGAAUAAGCACCGGCUAACUCCGUGCCAGCAGCCGCGGUAAUACGGAGGGUGCAAGCGUUAUCCGGAUUCACUGGGUUUCAAGGGUGCGUAGGUGGGCAGAUAAGUCAGUGGUGAAAUCUUCCGGCUUAACCGGGAAACUGCAAGUGCUACUAUGUGUCUUGAAUAGUGCGGAGGUAAGCGGAAUAUGUCAUGUAGCGGUGAAAUGCUUAGAUAUGACAUAGAACACCA
rnacentral:rRNA from 1 species